rnacentral:lncRNA from 1 species
UUUCACGGAUCAUGACUUCAAAUUCUGGGCCAUUCUUGGCCGCAUACUCAACAAGUUUAUCUAUCCGCUUGUGAAGUUCAGGAUCAGAAGGGGGGUUAGAUGGGGGUGGGCCAGAUUCAAAAGGACCAUGAAAAGGUGAAGGAACAAGGUGAGAGGGUAAAUGAGGAGGGAAACCAGAUGGAGCCUGCUGUUGCUGCUGGAGAUGCAGGAGGUGAGGAUGAGGUGGAGGAUGGGGAUGGAGUUGUGGUUGUGGUGGCAUGUGGCGAUGGAAAGGA